CAAGACGUAGCUUACUCAAAAGCAUUCAGCUUACACCUGAAAGAUAUCUGCCUAUCCACCAGAUCGUCUUGA
rnacentral:tRNA from 1 species